rnacentral:rRNA from 1 species
AUUGAACGCUGGCGGCAGGCCUAACACAUGCAAGUCGAGCGGAAACGAGUUAUCUGAACCUUCGGGGAACGAUAACGGCGUCGAGCGGCGGACGGGUGAGUAAUGCCUAGGAAAUUGCCCUGGUGUGGGGGAUAACCAAUUGGAAAACGAUGGCUAAUACCGCAUAAUACCUUCGGGUCAAAAGAGGGGGGACCUUCGGGCCUCUCGCGUCAGGAUAUGCCUAGGUGGGAUUAGCUAGUUGGUGAGGUAAUGGCUCACCAAGGCGACGAUCCCUAGCUGGUCUGAGAGGAUGAUCAGCCACACUGGAACUGAGACACGGUCCAGACUCCUACGGGAGGCAGCAGUGGGGAAUAUUGCGACAAAUGGGCGCAAGCCUGAUGCAGCCAU